AACGAACGCUGGCGGCAGGCUUAACACAUGCAAGUCGAGCGCCCCGCAAGGGGAGCGGCAGACGGGUGAGUAACGCGUGGGAACGUACCCUUUGCUACGGAAUAGCUCCGGGAAACUGGAAUUAAUACCGUAUGUGCCCUACGGGGAAAGAUUUAUCGGCAAAGGAUCGGCCCGCGUUGGAUUAGCUAGUUGGUGGGGUAAUGGCCUACCAAGGCGACGAUCCAUAGCUGGUCUGAGAGGAUGAUCAGCCACAUUGGGACUGAGACACGGCCCAAACUCCUACGGGAGGCAGCAGUGGGGAACAUUGGACAAUGGGCGCAAGCCUGAUCCAGCCAUGCCGCGUGAGUGAUGAAGGCCUUAGGGUUGUAAAGCUCUUUCACCGGAGAAGAUAAUGACGGUAUCCGGAGAAGAAGCCCCGGCUAACUUCGUGCCAGCAGCCGCGGUAAAAC
rnacentral:rRNA from 1 species